UACAGAGGGUGCGAGCGUUAAUCGGAAUUACUGGGCGUAAAGCGUGCGUAGACGGCUAUCUAAGUCGGGUGUGAAAGCCCCGGGCUCAACCUGGGAAUUGCAUUCGAGACUGAAUAGCUAGGGUGCGGUAGAGGGAAGCGGAAUUUCCGGUGUAGCGGUGAAAUGCGUAGAUAUCAGGAGGAACACCCGUAGCGAAGGCGGCACUCUGGGCCGAUACUGACACUGAGGAGCGAAAGCGUGGGGAGCGAACAGG
rnacentral:rRNA from 1 species